UACGUAGGCAGCAAGCGUUGUUCGGAGUUACUGGGCGUAAAGGGUGUGUAGGCGGUUGUUUAAGUUUGGUGUGAAAUCUCCCGGCUCAACUGGGAGGGUGCGCCGAAUACUGAAUGACUAGAGUGCGGGAGAGGAAAGUGGAAUUCCUGGUGUAGCGGUGAAAUGCGUAGAUAUCAAGAGGAACACCUGAGGUGAAGACGGGUUGCUGGGCCGACACUGACGCUGAUAGCGCGAAAGCCAGGGGAGCAAACGGG
rnacentral:rRNA from 1 species